CUUCCACAGCAGCAGGAGCUCUCCAUUGCAUCCUUCCUCGGGCCCAGUAGCAAGGCUGAGUUAUAGUUUUCCCUUUUCAGAUCCGAAACAGCUCUUCCUGUGAACAUCAGGCACUGCUAAUUGUAGAAGUGUCAUUUUUAGUUGCAGAUGGUCACACAGAAGCUGAAGACCCAGCUGACCUACAAACAAUGUUGGAAGUAAGCUGAUUUGAUUCUGGUGGGAGACAGGAGCAGGAACGACUGGGGUAGUGUCUGAGCUAGCAGGAUUUCCAUAGGGGGUAUUUAUUUCAAUAGAUGGAUGUGUCCAGUGUCAAAACACUGCUGUCAAAGUGGCCAGCACAAGGCUGCACCAGGUCAGCUCAGGCUCACUACUGACAAUGGCAGGUGCCUUACUUCAGGAGCUGCUCAGGUACAGUCUAAAAUCCACAGGAUACGAAAUAACAGUAGACUUGAAAUGAAAACUCCACCACAUAGCUCAGAUAAGAUUCUGAUGACUUC